GGAGGAUAUUAGAUUUUCUUAAUGUUCUGCAUGACACACAGCAACUCGGCAACAGGAUGUUGCCGAGAGCGAGACCUGAGCCAUGGAUGGCGAAUGUCGAGUGCUUGCGUCGAUAGACAUUAUCGAUAUCAGAACAUUUAGAAAAUCUUAUAUCC
rnacentral:ncRNA from 1 species